CCCUCGGUAGUAUAAUGGUUAUUACAGGCGGCUGUAGACCGCUUGAAGCAAGUUCGAAUCUCGCCCGAGGGA
rnacentral:tRNA from 1 species